GAUCCUAAGGGGAGGAGAGGAUUU
rnacentral:miRNA from 1 species